rnacentral:rRNA from 1 species
GCUUACGGCCAUACCUCCCUGAAUCGGCCCGAUCUCGUCAGAUCUCGGAAGCUAAGCAGGGUUGGGCAUGGUUAGUACUUGGAUGGGAGACUGCCUGGGAAUACCCGGUGCUGUAAGCA